GGCGGUGCUUCCGGGACGGACCUCCAGGCCGAGGGAGGGGGGUGUCUGACAGUUGGUUCCGCCCAGAGGGCGGGCAGGCGGCACGAGUGGGCGCGGGCCCAGAGGGCCAGUCAGAAAGUCAGCGCUGGAGAUGGGCUUUUAAUGGUGGAGAGAAGAGGAAACUGAGUCCAGCAGGGAAUUCUGCAGCUGUAGAAGGAUACCAGUACUUAAAUACUUUUGUUUACAGAUGGGGACACUGAGGCCCGACUG